AAUUCACCCUUUUAUUUGUUGCCCUUAUGACCAACAAAGUAACAAAAAGAUAAAUAUUCGCAUACGGUAUUUAUUCCAACUCAAUAAAUACAUAAUCAUAAAGGGAAACUUUUGCAGAAAUGGUAAAAAUAUUGUUAUGUGACUAAGAGGUCACGAGUUCAAGUCAUGAAAAUAACCUCUUGCAGAAAUGCGAGAUAAGGUUAAGUACAAUAGACCCUUGUAGUCCGCUCCUUCCCCGAAACUUACGCGUAGCGGAAGCUUAGUUCACCAGACUGUCCUAAAUAAAUACAUGAUCAUGUGUACAAAUAUUUUUCUAUAUGGUUUUCACUUAACCAUAUACAUUCUCGUCUAAAAUUUAUAUCUUCACCAUAAUAAAGUAGCAAUAUAAUUUAGUAUAAACAUCGAGUAGUGUGAUAUAUUUUUUUUUCAAACUAACACCAUGAUGUCCACACCCUUAUAAACAACUAGGCAAACCUUCCUAAUGAAACCCUCUAUCCCACCCUCCCUUUAAACUACUAUUCCUUUUGUGCAGUGUUCUUGAUGAGCAGCCACCCUUUUGCCACCAACUCAGGUGGCAAAGGGGUGGCGCGCGCCGGUGCACGGCUAAAUCAGGUGGACGAGCUGGUGCCUGUUCUUGACAAUUGUUUGAGGUCAUAGAGCUGCAGCUGCUGCUAUCUUUUAUCUUAGUCCCAACUCAAGGUAAGGAAAUCGCCAUUUUCUUUUGGUGGUGGUUUUCUAGUUUAGUUACGAAGGGCAACUUGUAUCCUUUGGCAUUUUAAUUUCCCUUUGAGUCUCUUCAUGAGCUUGAGGAAGUUAUAAUUAAAAUAAUCUCAAGGGCAAGCAGGAUUUAUGCUUAGCCUAGCUAUUUGUACUUAUAAGUUCAGCUUAUGUGUUUGAGAAGAACUUAAUGAACAUUUUUGAUGUAUUAAGCCUUUGGCUAUAAUAAUGAUGAAAGUGUUUUCUAUUAAUGUUUAAGAGUAGUUUUUUGUGUUUACAUUGUGGUUUGAGCUGCGGAAGGAGUGGAAGGUGACUUGGUUCGUCAUAUUCACGUUUAGAUGUUGUAAUAUAAUCCAUAAAUAUUGAAGACGAAUUAAAUGUAGUGAUUUGAAAAUAUAAGAGGUUGAUAACUUCAAUUAUUCCUUUAUCUCGUGAUUAAAAGUAUACGUAUUUCCGUGUGUCUCAGGAUGAUUAUUGUUAAGCCAAGUUAAUUAGUCACUAAUAAUCACAUUAAAUAUCUUGCAUGUAAAUUGAAUGGGGUUUUCUCUUAUCUCUUGAUUACACUCGUAGAUCUUUUAUUUGUGCAGAUAAAAAAAGAAAACUUGUCUAGUUGAUUCGGACAUUAUCACAAUUUUGCUAAGUUUUGAAGAAUGGACAAUUAUCAUUUACGUUAGUAGAGCGAUUUUAGCCUGUUUGGCCAGGCUUCUUUUUGGCCAAAAGGGGUUUUUUUUUUUUCUUCUUCCAAAAAUAUGUUUGGCCAAAAAUUGAGGUGUUUGGCCAAGCUUUUGAAAAUAAAAAAAAAAAAUGCUUUUGAGGAGAAGCAGAAAAAGUAGAUUCUCUCCAAAAAUACUUUUUUGAGAAGCACUUAGAAAACUACACUUAGAAGCAAUUUUUUAAAGUUUGGUCAAACACUAAUUGCUGCUCAGAAGUGUUUUUCAAACUAAUUAGCCAAACACAAACUGCUUCUGACCAAAAAUAUUUUUGAAAAAAGCAUUUUGAAAAAAAGCACUUCUCAAAAUAAGCUAAUUCUUGCAGUUUGACCAAACGGGCUAUUAGAGCUUAUAUAGUAAGAUAAUCCAAUAUGAAUAGAUAAAACCCUAUGUUUGACCGCAAAGUUAUUCUUUCUCUUUCUCAUUCAUAUAUGUCUUAAUAAGUGAUUUUCGUAAUUACACCUAUAAAUACACCUUUUUGUGUAGUCAUGAUAAUUUUCUUACUCCGACUAAGGCACUCCUAAUAUUAACUAGUAUUAGUACCUGCGCGAUGCGCGAACAAAUCAUUUCAAAUUGCAAUAUAUGUUAUUUGAAUCAUGUACAAAUAACCUUAAAAUAUAUAUCUUGCAGAUAAAAAUUAUAUAAUAUGAGAAUUUAAUUAUGAAGCAUGAUAUGAAAUUAUUGAUUAAAUCUCGUUGUAGACAACCAAUCUUUUUAACAUAUAUUUGUAGCAACCUAACCCCUUGAUUUUUGUACUUGCAUUUCGUUCCGUUGUCGAUAUUAAAGAAUACUAAACAUGUCAUAUUGUGAUCUGUCUUGUUCGAGCACAUUAGAUCAUAUUAUUUUAACAAAAUUCUUACAAUCACUUUAUUUUUAUCAGGAAGUCAAAUAUGUCUUAUUCA
rnacentral:lncRNA from 1 species